CAAUAGCGUAUAUUAAAGUUGUUGCGGUUAAAAAGCUCGUAGUUGGAGUUCUGCCAGGUGCCGCCUGUCCGCCCCAGUGGUGAGUACGUGGCGCGCAUUUGGCCCUUUCAAGGGGAGCGUAUCUGCACUUUAUUGUGUGGUGCGGGAUCCUUGACUUUUACUUUGAGGAAAUAGGAGUGUUCCAAGCAGGCUCUCGUCGUGCACAGCUCAGCAUGGAAUAAUAGCAUUGGACCUCGAUUCUAUGCUGUUGGUUGCCAGAAGCGAGGUAAUGAUGAAGAGGGAUAGUUGGGGGCAUUCGUAUUUAACUGUCAGAGGUGAAAUUCUUGGAUUUGUCAAAGACGGACUACUGCGAAAGCAUCUGCCAUGGAUGUUUUCAUUGA
rnacentral:rRNA from 1 species